rnacentral:lncRNA from 1 species
CUUGGAUGAAGAAUUAAAACCCUAACUUUGAUUCUGUAGAAGAGGUAUGAUCUCCAGGGGCCAGGGGGCCUUGCUUAUAUAGUCUUUUCAAGUGAAUCUGGGCCGUCGGAUCAAACCGACAUUGAUCGUGUGGUUUUCCUUGAAGUAUUAGGUCGGUGGAGCAUGAUCCCCGAGUUGUACCCUGAUUGGGCAGAACAGGUGGGCGGGCGCCCUCAGGACUAGGCCGGGCGCCCUGUCCCUGAGGCCUCUCGUCUUCCGCUUUGUUCCCGUGGCUUCUGGAGUCUUCUAGAUGAUAGAAAAUUGCGCGACACGUUA